rnacentral:tRNA from 1 species
GGUAAAAUGGCUGAUUUAGGCGAUAAAUUGUAAAUUUAUUUAUGAAGUUAAUUCUUUUAUCA